rnacentral:snRNA from 1 species
UUGUGGUUUGAUGUGGCUGUGGCAUUUGUCAUCCCAUUUAUCACCCAGGGUUCAUUCAACUGAUCUGGCUGGCUAGGCAGUUGUACCCUUCCUCCCUUAGUGCUCUAUGUGCAUCCCUCACAAAGCCAUAUGCAUUGUAGAAGAGGAUGAUUUUCCCUGAUAGAGGACCAUUUUUCAGUCAAGGGUAUACGAGUAGCUGUGUUCCCCUGCUAAAACCUCCAAACAAACUCUCAACUAACCCAUUUAUGUGGAGGAUCUGAUUGUUGUUUAACUGGAAUUUUCCCAACUCUCUCUUGAGAUGGCAGUUUGUU